rnacentral:rRNA from 1 species
GAUGAACGCUGGCGGCGUGCCUAAUACAUGCAAGUCGAGCGAACGGACGAGAAGCUUGCUUUUCUGAUGUUAGCGGCGGACGGGGGAGUAACACGUGGAUAACCUACCUAUAAGACUGGGAUAACUUCGGGAAACCGGAGCUAAUACCGGAUAAUAUUUUGAACCGCAUGGUUCAAAAGUGAAAGACGGUCUUGCUGUCACUUAUAGAUGGAUCCGCGCUGCAUUAGCUAGUUGGUAAGGUAACGGCUUACCAAGGCAACGAUGCAUAGCCGACCUGAGAGGGUGAUCGGCCACACUGGAACUGAGACACGGUCCCGCCUCCCACGGGAGGCAGCAGUACGGAAUCUUCCGCAAUUGGCGAAAGCCUGACGGAGCAACGCCGCGUGAGUGCUGAAGGUCUUCGGAUCGUUAAACUCUGUUCUUAGGUAAGAACAUAUGUGUAAGUCACUCUGCACAUCUUGACGGUACCUAAUCAGAAAGCCCCGGCUAACUACGUG